GAUGAAGAACGUAGCGAAAUGCGAUAAGUAAUGUGAGUUGCAGAAUUCAGUGAAUCAUCGAAUCUUUGAACGCACCUUGCGCUCCUUGGUAUUCCGAGGAGCAUGCCUGUUUGAGUGUCAUGAAAUUCUCAACCUUUCUGGCUUUUGCUAGUCAGGCUUGGAUUAUGGGAGCUGCUGGCUUUUGAAGUCGGCUCUUCUAAAAUGUAUUAGCAAGAUCAUUGCUGCUCAUCAUUGGUAUGAUAAUUAUCUAUAUCAUUGAGAGUCAGUUUCCUUUAUUGGAAGAUUUUGCUCCUAACGGUCUUUAGCAAGACAACAUUUGACGAUUUUGACCUCAAAUCAGGUAGGACUACCCGCUGAACUUAAGCAUAUCAAUAAGCGGAGGA
rnacentral:misc_RNA from 1 species